AUCGGAAGAAGAGGUUGCAUGACUCAUCAGUAGUCGUUGUUAGGUGAUUAAGAACCGGAGCAAUGAUGAAAGGGUGCCAUGCCGAAAUGGAACGCUGCUUAUUCAGCGAACUGUUGGGCCCUGGUUGAAUAAAUCAGGGACUGUCGCAAUGUGAUAAUUGCGGGGCGCUAUCGACGAU
rnacentral:ncRNA from 2 species